CAGUGUGCAGCUUGGAAUCUCUAAACAUCUGAGAUCUGUUAGUACUUUAUUUGUAAUGACACUGCCAACAGGCUGCCCCCCUCCAAAAGGUCACAGCACACACUCAGCAUUAAAUUGCAGUACAACAAAUCCUCAGCUAUCCAUAACCUGCAAAAUGAUAGGGGCAGGCUGGAAGGGGAGACUGGGAUAAAACAGAAAAAGAAAAGAGUCUAGACACACUUUCCCAAAACUCACUGGGGAAUCAUUUUAAAAUCACUUUAUGAGGAAAUAAUUGAGGUUCUAUAUACAAAACUCCCUUUAAAAAAAAAAAAAGUAACACAUUUGACAACCUUAGAAAGUCACAAGGUUGUUACAGAGAAGAAUGGGCCUCUGUUUGGGAAUUUAAAUACUAUGUAGCCCAAAUCCAUAAACAUUUAAGAUUUUUAAAGCUGUUGGGAAUAAAAGAGCAAAGAAGAGCAAAACCAGCCAGGGCCAACUAAGAAAAAAACACAAAACAAACCAACAAAACUGAGCUGCUAAGUGAAUGAAAAUCAUCUGUGCAGUAAAACCCCCUUUCCUCACUCUGUAAUGCUCCAGCUCUGAGCUCUGCCCUUCAAUCCAGCACAGAAUAAACCCACUGUUGUGCACAGCACAGACCCACCAGUGCCUGCAUCCCACUCCACAGCAAGUGGAAUUCAUUCAGAGCCACCAGAUGCAGCAUCAGCCCCCAAAAUACAGAAACUCUUUAUCAGCAGGGAAGAGCAGGCUGUCACUGUGCCCUGCCCAGGAGGACCUGAGCACCCCCAGUCACCACUGCACCUCCACACGGAGCCAGCAGCUCUGAAACUCUUGAAACUCCACCUGUUUCGAGGGGAACACAACACAGCUGAAAGAAAAUCACUGCAGAGAACAGUUUAUGUCAUUCUUUUUAUGCCUCUCUUCUGUUGUUCUUAAUGCCAGAGCUGCUUCUCCGUGUCCCUUGUGGAGAGGUCCAAGCAGAAGAACCACGCAGGCAUCUUAUCAUAUACUCCCUGAAAAGAAAGCUGAUGGCAGAUCCCACUCAGAAGAGUGAAGAAUACCUGAAGAGUCACAGCAGAGCCAGUGUAAGUGCAUUACUGUUCAACUGCUCAUCAAUUCAUAACUGUAAUUUCUGUGACAUCUUCCAUGAUUCACUUCAGGCUCAGUUCUGGGACAGAAAAAGGGAGAAACAUUGUUUACCCCAGAGUCAGUCAGCUGAAAAAAAUGAUGAAAUUCUGAUGGAAACUCAUCCCAUGCACUCUGAAACCGUGUCACUCCUGCAUUUGUUGGUGAUGUAGAGCGACCACUGCUCUUCUUUGCAUUGAAGAACAAGACUAAAAACCCUAUUAUUUCACCUCCUGGCAUUCCUAAACCCUUUAAUGGUUCCAACCCUUAAAUGCUUCUAUUUUUAAAUAAAAGUUCUUUUAAAAAUUAAA